rnacentral:misc_RNA from 1 species
GAAGGGAGGAUUUGGGACAGUGUAUCGCGGAGUCUUGCCUGAUGGAAGGCAAGUGGCAGUGAAAAAGCUACAAAGAGAGGGAAUUGAAGGGGAAAGAGAGUUUAGAGCUGAAAUGGAAGUACUAAGUGGAAAUGACUUUGGUUGGCAUCCGAAUCUUGUAACACUUUACGGUUGGUGCCUUAAUGGAUCAGAGAAAUUGUUAGUCUAUGAAUACAUGGGAGGUGGAAGCUUAGAUGAGAUCAUCACAGAUAGAUCCAAAUUCACAUGGAAGAAACGAAUCAACGUGGCAAUUGAUGUUGCACGUGCUUUGGUCUUCUUACACCACGAGUGCUACCCUUGUAUAGUCCACAGAGACGUCAAGGCUAGCAACGUGCUACUAGACAAAGACGGAAGGGCAAGAGUCACAGAUUUUGGCCUAGCUAGGGUCAUGGAUGCUGGAGAUAGUCAUGUUAGCACAAUGGUUGCUGGUACAGUCGGGUACGUUGCACCAGAAUAUGGACAGACAUGGCAAGCCACAACAAAAGGCGAUGUCUACAGUUAUGGUGUGCUAGCAAUGGAGCUAGCCACAGGAAGACGCGCUGUUGAUGGUGGCGAGGAAUGUCUAGUUGAAUGGGCGAGACGUGUGAUGGGAGACGGAAGGCAAGGAUUCACCAGAGCCAUAAUACCAGUUUCUCUUUUGGUAUCAGGCCUAGCAGAAGGAGCAGAGGAAUUAUGUGAAUUGCUUAGAAUAGGAAUAAGGUGCAUUGCUGAUAUUCCUCAUGCUAGGCCUAACAUGAAGGAAGUAUUGGAUAUGUUAAUCGCGAUUUCG